UGGGGAAUAUUGGGCAAUGGGCGGAAAGCCUGACCCAGCAAUGCCGCGUGAAUGAAGAAGGUCUUAGGAUUGUAAAAUUCUGUCCUAUGGGAAGAAACAAAUGACGGUACCAUAGGAGGAAGCCCCGGCUAACUACGUGCC
rnacentral:rRNA from 1 species